rnacentral:lncRNA from 1 species
GACGAUUCGAUCAAAUCGAAAACGAAAAUUAUAAAUGUAAUUCAAACUUUUGUAUUAUUAAUUUUAUUCAGUGCUUUAUCAAUAUUGCAUUUUAUGAAUGAUAACGAUGAACAUCAAGCAUUAACUUCGUCGAUAAAUAUUUCAAUAUUAAAAAUUUUAGUGGAAAAAUAUUUACAUUCGAUACUCGGAGUAGUGAUCAUAAUUUUAUCGUUUAUAAAUAGACAGGAGUAUGUUAUAUUUUUACAAACAGCAUCCUUGAUAGAUAACAUGUUAACCAAGAUAAAAAUAAAUUUUGAUUAUACGAAACAUUACCGAAUUGUUUUGAUCACAACGAUAUCCGGUGUAAUAACAUGGAUAAUAAUAACCGUAAUUUUCGUUUUAGUCGACGAUUAUUUAUCAGUUUCGGUAAUAUGUAUUUUAGUACUUCUUGUAUUCGCUUCAAUUGGAAAAUUCAUUCUUAGUUUAUAUUUAAUGAGAAAACGAAUAUCGUCUUUGAAUGUAUUUUUACGAAAUUUAGAUUUAAAUCUUAAAAAUUCUGUGCGGGAAGUUCAACAAUUAAAAUGGAUCGCUAACAGUCAAAAUAAAAUUGUGGAUGCUGUAACAAAUUUAAACAACGCUUUUAGUUUACAAUUAUUAGCAUUCAUCACUUUAUGUUUUCUUUCAACAUUAUUUGGAAUAUACAGCAACUUUCGUACUUUAUUUUCGGAUUAUGGAGAACAAGCUUUAUGGAUUACUAUUUUAAAUAAUUCUUGUAUGGGUAUUUGUAUGAGUAUUGUUUUAUUUGGAGUUGUAUGGAUUUGUUCAACGACAUCCGAUAAGGUAAGUUUUUUUUAAUUUAUUUAGUUUGUAAUGAAAAGAAAUUAUACAAGUUUAAAACGAUUUCUAACAAAAUCAUUUUUACGUGUUUCUGGAUUUUUGAAAUGUAUGCUACAUUUAAAUGUAGCUAUUUGGCCCUCCCACCACCACUAUCAUCAAAACAUAUCAUUUUAUGAAUCUAAAAUAUCUCCUGAAAAAUGUUCCCUAUUUUAGUCUAUAUGCAUAGCUGUUAUAUGGUGAGCUCUAGCCUUCAAUAGCACAAGCUGGUUACUAUAUAUUUUAGCAUACUUAUUUGUGAAAAUCAUUAGAAAACUGAGGGAUCUCCCCGUUUAUUACUAUAGCAGUUUGUUAUUCUGUAUAAUAUGCAUUCGUGUUUAAGCGUGUUUAUUAAGAUUCAUUAUGAGUGAUAAUGAAUGAAUAGAUUCAUCUAGAGCAAUUCUUAUAUCAAACAAAAUCAAAGUAGUCAAAAGAUUGCACCAUAAAAAGGUUGUGGAAUAUUAGAUGAACAUUCCACAGCUUUAGUCGUGGUUGCGACCAGAACAUUCAGUAUACAAGAGAUCUGGCUGACAACAAUAAAGAAGCAUUAUUUCCAAAACACAUAUCGGAAACACCGUUAAUGAUGGAUCUUUACCGCCAAAAAUAAGUUAAUAUUUUAAAUUCAGCAUUGAUGGCACGGAUACAGCUCCAUAGGAAGCGGAAAUAAAACUAGAUAUAUGCUCUAUUUGCUCAGAUCAGAAAAUGUCUAAGAAUAUAUGUUGUAAAAUGUAUCAUUCGCUGCACAUGUGCGCAAGCAAUAUGUAAGGCGUUAUGAAGAAGCUGUGAAGAUCUUGGAAUAAAUACAUAUACAUACAUUUUUUUAAGAUGAGUAAAUUCAUAAAUUUAACAUUAAAUUUUUCUAUUUUUAAAUUCAUUACAAUAUGGCAGCACUGAUGGCAAAUCACCACGGACGAUUAAACCAUUGAACAACGUACAUCCUUGCUAUAUCCCUAUUUUAUCCUUCCUAUAAACUCGAGUUAUCCGGUUCGAUAAAUCUUCAGCCAAUACUUCCCUGUUAAAAAAAAAUGGUGCUUUGCGUGAGAGAAAAUCUGAAGCAAUUAAUUGUCAGUCGUCCAUAAGAACAUGGUCUCUCUACAUCAACUUACUAAAUUUUGCGUCGAGACUUGAUUCUGCACCCAUAUAAAAUCUAUAUUUACUAAUUGGAGUUUGGAGCAAAUGGAUGUUUACCUAACAUGCGGCAAAAAACAGUGAGUGAACAAGCAAAAUUGUUGGAUAUGGAGCCAAACGAAUCCAUACAACAUACCCCAGCAACAAAUGCAUUCCACAGAAGUUACUGUUUAGUAAUUUUGGUAUGGUGGAAUCAUCAAUGCGAAAUUCUUCCAAUAAAAACUGGCAUUGUCAUCAAUGGAAAACACUACAAAUCAUACAUGAUAAGUAUCUUUCAUGGCCUAAAUUGGAUGGUGAAGGAGACGGUGUUAGAUGCCAUGUAGAUAUGAGGACAUGAUUAUCUUGUAUGGUGGCAACGUGAACUGACCACUAAGACCCUGCGAUUUAACUCCUGUAGACUUCUUCUUUUGGAGUUAUCUUAAAUCGUAGUUUAUGCGAAUAAACGCCACACAGUUAAUAUCCUCAAAGUCAACAUAACCAACGUCGCUCAACGAAAAUCACCUCUUGAAUAAAUACCGCCAAACAAAAUCUCUGUGGACAUUUUAAAGAUGUGAUAAUCCAUAUGUAAUGCCAUCUCGUACACAACUUCUUUUAUUUCUAAUAUUUUUAAUUAAAUUAAUUUCUGCUGAUAUCCUAACAUAAAAUGUGGAACAAAAAGUUAGUAUCGUUCCUAGAAACAUACACAUUCAUACAAAACAUGAUAAAGGAGUUUAUAUAAAUACGAAGAACCGCAUUUAGAAAUGCAUCAUAGAUUGCUUCUUCUGGAUUUCAAUCGACGAUGCAGCAGAUGAAAUACCUGAAGAGCUGACUGCUAAAAAAUGUCUUGUUAAAUACAAAAAAGUUUGAUGCAAGAUUUUGGAUGAGACUUUCAAUAGACAUGAUUUUACUUUUUGUAUGAUGGUAAAAGCAGCACGAACAUUUUGUCCAAAAGUGAUACAUUUAAUUGUUCUUGUAUACUGAGUUCAUAGAGUUUGUGAGCAAAUUUAAAAUACACUAACAUCAAUCGAUUUAUUAUCAAGGCGAAUAAAGCAUUUUAAAAAUGUUCUCAAGAUAAGCAAUUUUUAACGAAAUAGUGCCUUAUCUUGCUCACUCACAGGAGAACGUGGAUUAAUGCGAGACAUUUUUAUGCUACCAAGUUUGAAAAAAUUGGUAAUGUACUUGGGUGUUACACUAACAAUUAACAAUGAAUUGUAAGAAGACGUAAAAUAAGACUUAAUUCUUAUUAUAUCAAAAUAUGGAUUAUGAAUUAUCAAUAAAAGCAGUGGAAACAUCUGAGAUUCUGCUUUCUACACAGAUUGAUGUAGUGAUACAUGCUCAAGAGUUAAUUAAUACCAGCAUAAUCGGUGAAAUUUUAUAAGUCAAAUUAAGUUGUAAUAAUCACAAAAAUAUUUUUAUCUCACCUACAAAUUUAAAUGGAUAUGCAUAUUUUCAAAAUUCUCAUUUUCUUGUAGCAUAUUUUCAUGCUUAAACAACAUAUUUUGAUUUUUAUAGAGCAUUUUUUUUGUAUACGUUGUAACAUAAACUAAAAUAUCUCUAGAUUUAUUUUGUUUAGUUGAGAAAAUUUGUAUCCCUAUUAAUAUCUUAAUUAUUGGUCAAAUUUCCGAAAUAUUGUACCACUAGUGCCUAUAAAUACAGAAAAAUCACGAUAAGCUAUCGAGAGUUCUUCAAAUUGUGCGUUAAUACCGAGUACUCAAUACUAGUACUUUAAAAAGAUAAGAAUCCGGUUAUAAUCUAAAUUAUUAAGUGAAGUUGAAGUGAGUAAUUAUUGUUAUUUAUUAACGUUAAUAACAGCUGUUAUUAUGAAAUUCUAAACAAGAGGUUGCUUUGACGAACCUCUAUCAUAAAAAUGCCUAUUGUAAUGGGGAAAAAAAUCCUCAUGAUUAAUUCAUCAAUCAGAAAGCGGCAACCAAUACUAAUUUAUCGAAACAACCUGAUAAGUAACAAUAUAUAAUAGGCAACGACAUUUUAAGCCAAUAUUAAACUUUGUGACCAGAAAAAUUCGAAGAACAUUCUAUUUUGUUGAGCAUAAUUUGCCAUUUAUAAUCGCCUAUCAGAGUUACCAAGGAAAAUAUAUUGCCAAAAAAUACAGUCUGGGAGAACAAAACUUAGUGCUAUAUCUAUCAAUUUAAGUAACUCCGAUAUUUCAAAUUUUUAUUGAUAUUUGUUAAGGAUUUAAUAUCCAUCAAACAUAUAUAUUUAGUAGCCCGAUAUUUUUUUCAAUAUGAAAUAAGCACCUUCUAUAAUUUUCAAGUAAUUUACCAACUUUUUCAAACAGGACGAUAUUCCUUUCUUAUGGAUUUGCUUGUGACGGUAGAAACAUCAUGGUUAGAUUUAAUAAUUCAGUAUCAAUUUAUCUUUUGAUGAUAUUUUUAGAAUUAGUUGUAGCCAAUCAACAAUGCAAGGCUUUGUAGCAGUAUUAUAUUGAUGCGAUAAAUCAUGAAAAUUUUACAAAGCAACAAUCAUAUUAAAAAAGAACAUCACCUUCUCAAACUUUAAUUGCUUAAACAAAGAACACAAUCAAUUGCACCACAAAUUCUUAUAAGCUAUAAGCUUAGAUAUGUAAUAUAAGCUAUAUGGUGUAGUCAGUUAUUCAUACAAAUCAUUGUUAAUUUUCUUUAAUUGAUUCAUUUAAAUUUAUACAUUUCCCAAACAUUAAUCUGCAUAAUAAGAAGUAAUUCAAAUUUAAAGAUUGUUGUUUAGAAAAUUAUACGGAAAUCGCGUUACUAAUCUAAAGAAGUUUUGAUUUCAAUAAUAAUGUGGUUGAGUCUUUGGGACUACUUGGUCUUCAAAACAUACUGAGGAAACUAUUGCGCAAGAAUCGUCAAUUCAUUACUUAAUAAUAAUAAUCACGAUUUCGACAACAAACGGCGACAACGUUAAAAUUCGCAAUUUACAUACAAUACAAGAGGUAAAUAAUAAUAAAAAAAGUUUAUGAAACUUACAACUCUACCGUUAUUCUAUCAUUAGCAUUGUUACAAUGAGAAACAUUAUUAUAAGAGGUACAAGAAUGGGAGAAAUUGGUACGCCUAAAAAAGUAAAAGUAAAAAUUUUAUGAACAUUUAAUUAACAAAGUAGAUAUGGAGUGACACAUACUUCAUUCAAGACACAACUUGAAAGGUGGUUGAUUUUUUUCGAGGAGCUGAGAAUAAUUUUAGCCAAUUCUAAAUUUGGAUCCAUUAAAGAAAGACAGGAAGAAAGUUAUCUAUACGAUCCAGAAUAAAAAA